rnacentral:tRNA from 6 species
GCCCGGGUGGCGAAAUUGGUAGACGCAGGGGAUUCAAAAUCCCCCGGUGGCGACACCGUGUCGGUUCGAGUCCGACCCCGGGCACCA